rnacentral:rRNA from 1 species
UGCGUAGGUGGUUUCUUAAGUCAGAGGUGAAAGGCUACGGCUCAACCGUAGUAAGCCUUUGAAACUGGGAAACUUGAGUGCAGGAGAGGAGAGUGGAAUUCCUAGUGUAGCGGUGAAAUGCGUAGAUAUUAGGAGGAACACCAGUUGCGAAGGCGGCUCUCUGGACUGUAAUUGACACUGAGGCACGAAAGCGUGGGGAGCAAACA